UACGUAGGGUGCAAGCGUUAAUCGGAAUUACUGGGCGUAAAGCGUGCGCAGGCGGUUGUGCAAGACAGAUGUGAAAUCCCCGGGCUUAACCUGGGAAUUGCAUUUGUGACUGCACGGCUAGAGUGUGUCAGAGGGGGGUAGAAUUCCACGUGUAGCAGUGAAAUGCGUAGAUAUGUGGAGGAAUACCGAUGGCGAAGGCAGCCCCCGUGGGAUAACACUGACGCUCAUGCACGAAAGCGUGGGGAGCAAACAGG
rnacentral:rRNA from 1 species